rnacentral:rRNA from 1 species
AUUGAACGCUGGCGGCAUGCUUUACACAUGCAAGUCGAACGGUAACAGGCCGCAAGGUGCAGACGAGUGGCGCACGGGUGAGUAAUGCAUCGGAACGUGCCCAGUCGUGGGGGAUAACUACUCGAAAGAGUAGCUAAUACCGCAUACGAUCUAUGGAUGAAAGCGGGGGACCGUAAGGCCUCGCGCGAUUGGAGCGGCCGAUGUCAGAUUAGGUAGUUGGUGGGGUAAAGGCUCACCAAGCCAACGAUCUGUAGCUGGUCUGAGAGGACGACCAGCCACACUGGGACUGAGACACGGCCCAGACUCCUACGGGAGGCAGCAGUGGGGAAUUUUGGACAAUGGGCGCAAGCCUGAUCCAGCAAUGCCGCGUGCAGGAAGAAGGCCUUCGGGUUGUAAACUGCUUUUGUACGGAACGAAACGGCUCUGGUUAAUACCCGGGGCUAAUGACGGUACCGUAAGAAUAAGCACCGGCUAACUACGUG